rnacentral:rRNA from 1 species
UACGUAGGGUGCAAGCGUUUGUCCGGAAUUAUUGGGCGUAAAGAGCUCGUAGGCGGUCUGUUGCGUCGGCUGUGAAAACCCGGGGCUCAACUCCGGGCCUGCAGCCGAUACGGGCAGACUAGAGUUCGGCAGGGGAGACUGGAAUUCCUGGUGUAGCGGUGAAAUGCGCAGAUAUCAGGAGGAACACCGGUGGCGAAGGCGGGUCUCUGGGCCGAUACUGACGCUGAGGAGCGAAAGCGUGGGGAGCAAACAGG